AAAAAUUUAAAAUGGUUUUUGCACUUUCAAAAUGCCUGUUUUGUAUAAAUCUGCGCUUGGCCAGUACUCUAAUAGGUGUUGCAGGCUCUAUUGUAUCCGUAGUUUGGUUGGCAUAUCUCGUAGUAACCUACAAUAAUGAGUUGGAAGGAGAUUUCAUAUUGACGGGUAGAGAAUUGAGGUACCACCGGUCAUGGUUUAGGUUUCUGGUGCUGUUUGGAAUUUUAGAAGCCUUGAUAUCUGUUGUGGUGUUAGUGGGAGUUUUGAGG